rnacentral:rRNA from 1 species
UACGAAGGGGGCUAGCGUUGCUCGGAAUCACUGGGCGUAAAGGGCGCGUAGGCGGCCUGAUAAGUAGGGGGUGAAAUCCUGCGGCUUAACCGCAGGGCUGCCUUCUAAACUGUCAGGCUCGAGCACAGUAGAGGCAGGUGGAAUUCCCGGUGUAGCGGUGGAAUGCGUAGAGAUCGGGAAGAACAUCAGUGGCGAAGGCGGCCUGCUGGGCUGUUGCUGGACGCUGAGGCG